UCGGAGGUCCUUAGCAGUCCGCCCCUUCGGGGAGCGGGCUGCUGGCCUCCUAUGUUCCUAACGGUCCUCAUCCGCGAGGGUGGGGAAUCAACCGCUAGGAUCGUUUACUUUGAGGAAAUUAGAGUGUUCAAAGCAGGCGUAACUCGCCUCCGAAUACGUUAGCAUGGGAUAAUGGAAUACGACUUCGGUCUUGUUUCGUUGGUUUCGCUUGGCUGAAGUAAUGAUUGAUAGGGACAGUUGGGGGCAUUAGUAUUUAGUUGUCAGAGGUGAAAUUCUAGGAUUUACUAAAGACUGACCAAUGCGAAAGCAUUUGCCAAGGAUGUUUUCAUUAAUCAAGAACGAAAGUAGGGGGAUCGAAGACGAUCAGAUACCGUCGUAGUCUCUACCGUAAACUAUGCCGACCAGGGAUCCGGAGAGUUUGCAUGGAUGACUCCCCGGGCACCUUGUGAGAAAUCAUAAGUGUUUGGGUUUUGGGGGGAGUAUGGUCGCAAGGCUGAAACUUAAAGGAAUUGACGGAAGGGCACCACCAGGAGUGGAACCUGCGGCUUAAUUUGACUCAACACGGGGAAACUUACGAGGUCAGGACACUGUGAGGAUUGACAGAU
rnacentral:rRNA from 1 species